rnacentral:rRNA from 1 species
AACGAACGCUGGCGGCGUGGAUAAGACAUGCAAGUCGAACGGGAUUUUUUUCUGUAGCAAUACAGAGAAAAGUCUAGUGGCGAACGGGUGCGUAACACGUGAGCAACCUGCCGUGAAGUGGGGGAUAGCUCGCCGAAAGGCGAAUUAAUACCGCAUGUGGCCAAGGAAGACAUCUUCCUGACGCCAAAGCCGGGGCAACCUGGCGCUUCUCGAGGGGCUCGCGGCCUAUCAGCUUGUUGGUGAGGUAACGGCUCACCAAGGCUAUGACGGGUAGCUGGUCUGAGAGGACGACCAGCCACACUGGAACUGAGACACGGUCCAGACACCUACGGGUGGCAGCAGUCGAGAAUUUUUCACAAUGGGGGAAACCCUGAUGGAGCGACGCCGCGUGGAGGAUGAAGGUUUUCGGAUUGUAAACUCCUGUCAUUAGAGAACAAGGCACACGGUUUAACUGGCCGUGUGUUGAUAGUAUCUGAAGAGGAAGAGACGGCUAACUCUGUGCCAGCCGCCGCGGUAA